UACGGAGGGGGCGAGCGUUGUCCGAAGUUACUGGGCGUAAAGCGCGCGUAGGCGGGGAACCAAGUCCGCUGUGAAAGCCUGAGGCUUAACCUCAGCGGGUCGGUGGAUACUGGUUCUCUUGAAGGCGUUAGGGGGAGAUGGAAUUACCGGUGUAGCGGUGAAAUGCGUAGAUAUCGGUAGGAACACCAGUGGCGAAGGCGGUCUCCUGGGACGUUCUUGACGCUGAGGCGCGAAAGCUGGGGGAGCGAACGGG
rnacentral:rRNA from 1 species